rnacentral:rRNA from 1 species
AACGAACGCUGGCGGCAGGCUUAACACAUGCAAGUCGAACGCAUGCCUUCGGGCAUGAGUGGCAGACGGGUGAGUAACGCGUGGGAACCUACCCCUUGGUACGGGAUAGCUCCGGGAAACUGGAGAUAAUACCGUAUGUGUCCUGAGGGACAAAGAUUCAUCGCCAAGGGAUGGGCCCGCGUCGGAUUAGCUAGUUGGUGGGGUAACGGCCUACCAAGGCGACGAUCCGUAGCUGGUCUAAGAGGAUGAUCAGCCACAUUGGGACUGAGACACGGCCCAAACUCCUACGGGAGGCAGCAGUGGGGAAUAUUGGACAAUGGGCGCAAGCCUGAUCCAGCCAGGCCGCGGGAGUGAUGAAGGCCCUAGGGUUGUAAAGCUCUUUCACCGGUGACGAUAAUGACGGUACCCGGAGAAGAAGCCCCGGCUAACUUCGG